rnacentral:rRNA from 1 species
AUACGUAGGUGACAAGCGUUAUCCGGAUUUACUGGGUUUAAAGGGAGCGCAGGCGGAGAUGCAAGCGUGACGUCAAAUUUCGGGGCUCAACCCCGUCUCGCGUCGCGAACUGCGUCCCUUGGUUGCGGGAAGGGGAGGCGGAACUCGUGGUGUAGCGGUGAAAUGCAUAGAUAUCACGAAGAACUCCGAUCGCGAAGGCAGCCUUCCGGCCCGUCAACGACGCUCAUGCUCGAAGGUGCGGGUAUCAAACAGGAUUAGAUACCCUGGUAGUCCGUACAGUAAACGAUGGACACCCGCGGUUUGGCCUAUAUGGCUGAGCCGCCAAGCGAAAGCGUUAAGUGUCCCACCUGGGGAGUACGCCGGCAACGGUGAAACUCAAAGGAAUUGGCGGGG